rnacentral:snRNA from 1 species
GUGCUCACUUCUACAGCACAUAUACUAAAAUUGGAACGAUACAGAGAAGAUUAGCAUGGCCCCUUCACAAGGAAAUUCGUGAAGCGUUCCAUAUUUUU